rnacentral:snoRNA from 1 species
CUCCAUGACACCUUGGGACCUGCCUCUUGUGGCGGCCUCCCUUCCUAGGCAUGGAAGAGCAUCAGCUUGUUGAUGGCAAAGCUGCCGCCAUUGCAUUGGUCGCAGAUUCUGACUUGUGCAAGCGACAGAA